AUUGAACGCUGGCGGCAUGCCUUACACAUGCAAGUCGAACGGUAGCGGGCCUUCGGGUGCCGACGAGUGGCGAACGGGUGAGUAAUACAUCGGAACGUGCCCGAUCGUGGGGGAUAACGAGGCGAAAGCUUUGCUAAUACCGCAUACGAUCUACGGAUGAAAGCAGGGGACCGCAAGGCCUUGCGCGGACGGGGCGGCCGAUGGCAGAUUAGGUAGUUGGUGGGAUAAAAGCUUACCAAGCCGACGAUCUGUAGCUGGUCUGAGAGGAUGAUCAGCCACACUGGGACUGAGACACGGCCCAGACUCCUACGGGAGGCAGCAGUGGGGAAUUUUGGACAAUGGGCGCAAGCCUGAUCCAGCCAUGCCGCGUGCAGGAUGAAGGCCUUCGGGUUGUAAACUGCUUUUGUACGGAACGAAAAGCCUUCUUUUAAUACAGGAGGGUCAUGACGGUACCGUAAGAAUAAGCACCGGCUAACUACGUG
rnacentral:rRNA from 1 species